UACGUAGGGACCAAGCGUUGUUCGGAUUUACUGGGCGUAAAGGGCGCGUAGGCGGCAUGACAAGUCACUUGUGAAAUCUCUGGGUUUAACCCAGAACGGCCAAGUGAUACUGUCGCGCUAGAGUGCGGAAGGGGCAAUCGGAAUUCUCGGUGUAGCGGUGAAAUGCGUAGAUAUCGAGAGGAACACCUGAGGUGAAGACGGGUUGCUGGGCCGACACUGACGCUGAGUGCGCGAAAGCCAGGGGAGCAAACGGG
rnacentral:rRNA from 1 species